UGAGGAAUAUUGGUCAAUGGGCGAGAGCCUGAACCAGCCAAGUAGCGUGCAGGAUGACGGCCCUAUGGGUUGUAAACUGCUUUUAUAUGGGAAUAAAGUGAGGGACGUGUCCCUUAUUGCAUGUACCAUAUGAAUAAGGACCGGCUAAUUCCGUGCCAGCAGCCGCGGUAAUACGGAAGGUCCAGGCGUUAUCCGGAUUUAUUGGGUUUAAAGGGGGCGUAGGCUGUUUGUUAAGCGUGUUGUGAAAUGUAAGAGCUCAACUUUUAGAUUGCAGCGCGAACUGGCAGACUUGAGUGCGCACAACGUAGGCGGAGUUCAUGGUGUAGCGGUGAAAUGCUUAGAUAACAUGACGAACUCCGAUUGCGAAGGCAGCUUACGGGAGCGCAACUGACGCAAAAGCUCGAAGGUGCGGGUAUCGAACAGG
rnacentral:rRNA from 1 species